AUGACACAAACAAAAAACAAAAAACAAAAACAAACAAAAAACGAAGGAUUAUUUAUUUUAUUCGCCUUCGCAAC
rnacentral:ribozyme from 16 species